GACGAACGCUGGCGGCGUGCUUAACACAUGCAAGUCGAACGGAAAGGCCCUGCUUGCAGGGUACUCGAGUGGCGAACGGGUGAGUAACACGUGGGUGAUCUGCCCUGCACUUCGGGAUAAGCCUGGGAAACUGGGUCUAAUACCGGAUAGGAGCCAUUUUUAGUGUGAUGGUUGGAAAGUUUUUUCGGUGUAGGAUGAGCUCGCGGCCUAUCAGCUUGUUGGUGGGGUAAUGGCCUACCAAGGCGGCGACGGGUAGCCGGCCUGAGAGGGUGGACGGCCACCUUGGGCCUGAGAUACGGCCCAGACUCCUACGGGAGGCAGCAGUGGGGAAUAUUGCACAAUGGGCGCAAGCCUGAUGCAGCGACGCCGCGUGGGGGAUGACGGCCUUCGGGUUGUAAACUCCUUUCGCUAGGGACGAAGCUUUUUGUGACGGUACCUAGAUAAGAAGCACCGGCUAACUACGUG
rnacentral:rRNA from 1 species